CACACACACACACACACACACACACACAGAGAGAAAGAGCAGCAGGCACCUUUAUAGCGAAGACAUGAAUAACGUUUGAAGAAAGUUCAGGAACGGUUACGCUCCCUCUCUUCAGCGCAGGCGACAAACACGAUUGUAGGAGAAAUAAAGGAGGGUGCAAUCAUAAAGACGAAUCUGAUGAGGAGAAGCGCUGAAUCUGAGGAGGGAAAGUGUUCUGUCGGAGGAGGCGCGGGAAGCGCGCGCGCUCCUGUGACAGGUGAGUCUGCAGGUGCACAGGUAAGAACGCUGAUUUGAGGCUUUUUAAAAAACUAAAGGCAGUCGAUGUAGCGUAAUGGGGUUUUAGUGCAUUUUAUGUUAUUUUUUUUUCAUAAUACUCGGUCCAAAAUGAAAGAACUGAAAAUAACUGCUUUUUCGAUUAGAUUUCUGAGGGAUUCCGACACAUUGAAGGGCGUGAACGAGCUCUCUCUCGGCAUUCUUUCACCGUUAUUGUUAUUUGUCUUCUGCUGUGUUUUACGCUUUAGUGCUGAAGUCUUCAGAGGGCGACAGCGCUUUAUGUGAACAGACUUUCUGUUCUUUCAGUAUUUGUAAGGAUAAUGAAGACAUCAGUCCACGCGCAUCUGCACUGAUUGAUGCUUUUGUUCAGCAUCAGACUCCUGCGAUCUGUAACCAUUCAGGGUGUGCUCUUGGUUUGUCCGUGACAGUCUGAAUCAUCCGGAGCUGCUUGGAUCCCUGUAGGGAGGUGUAAGACAAGAAAAGACUCAUGUGCGGGAGAAGCCGCGUUGAGGUCAGAGGUCGGCAGAUUUCAUCAUCCCCGACACGCACACCUGUGGAACUUCAGGUUGGUUACUGAUGAACAAUAUCCUCGACACACUCUCAUCAUGUCAGCAGAUCAGCGGGCAGAUGUAUCGGUGCAUUCGGCCGGCUCAGGUUUUCAUCAGGAUCUGGUGUUUGUAAACCUGCCUUUUUGUAAAGAAGAUGCGCAACUGAGAAGACGCCGAGAACGACUGUUUGUUUUCCUGCAGCACAUUUGUACCUGUACCUUGAUUUACCGCACACACACACACACACACACACACACACACACACACACACACACACACACACACACACACACCUGGCAUUACAUCAGAGGCAGCGGGAUCCCAGGACGCACUGAAGACACCGCGGCUACCUGAUAUCAGUGUUAUUUAUUGGCUGUGGAGGAGAGUGACAGAUGAGCGAAGCUGGAGACAUGAAGAGAAGCAGAUAAGCAGCUCAUGAUGGAGAGACUAAAGCCCUGACUCGAGCAGAGAGUUCAACAGGAAGAGCUUGAGUAACUCUGACCGCUCGCAAUCGACACACCUGUGAGAGAACUAACCACAACCCAACCAGCAGUUACACAGGACACGCUUACAUAACCUGUGUGUUUCCAUGCAUGUCUGCAUGUCACUAAUAAAAAAGAAUGAAAAAGCAGCACCAUGAUAUUCUGUGAAGUGCCAUGUUAUAUUGAAAGUACUUGAAUAAGUGAUGCAUAAGAUCAAUAAAUAGUGUAAGAAAUCUACUGCAUAGUUAUUAUCAGUCACUGAGAAAAUCUUUGAAAAUCUUUCAGAUGACACACAGUAACUCCCAAAUAUUACAAAGUUCAUGUUCACAAAGAGGUGAUGUGUGGAAGCUUAUUUUCAGCACAGGAUAAAAAUAAUAAUAAUUGCAACUGAGUUGUAUCUCACAAUUCUGGAUUUUUUCUCGCAAUUCUGUGAAAAAAAAAAAAAGAACUCAGAAUUAUGAGAUAAAAGUUCGUAAGAAAAUAGCAGAACUGCAAGAUGCAAAGUCAGAAUUAUAAGAUAUAAACUCGCAAUUACAAUCUUAAAACAUUUAAUUGCAAGACACAAAUUUGCAAUUGUGAGAAGAGAAGUCAGAUUUGUUAGAUUUAAAGAAAAAUCACAAUUACCGGUUUAUUAUGUGCUGGGAAAAUAACUGAAUUGCAAUGUAAAGAUAGAAUUCUGAGCAAAAAUAUAGUAAAAAUUGCAACACUAAAACUCAUAAUUAAGUACUUUUAAUUUGCAAUUGCAAGAUACAAACUCAAAUGUGACGGGAAAAAAUAUUGUGAGAUUAAAAAGUUGCAUUGCCCUUUUUAUUUAUUUUGUUUAUUAAAACAAAAACACACAAUUGUGAGAUGUAAAUUCUGAAUUCUGAGAAAAAAAGUCAGAAAUGCAAGAUGUAAACUCGCAAUUACCCUUUUUAUUUUUAUUCUUUACCGGAAGAUACAAACUCACAAAGUCACAAUUACCUUUUUUCACAUUUUUAUUUGGUGGCAGAAAUAAUCUUCCACAGGGCAGAGAGACCUCAUCAGGGCGGAGAUUACACAAGCUCCAGUCAUUAGUGCGCCGUAUCAGCAAACUCUAUUGAAUCAGAAUAAUUUAAGCUGCGAUACACGACCCGGGGCCUGCAGGCAGGUUGGGGGCACAGACCUCGUCACAGCAUUAAUUGGUAUCAGAUCACCAUCGUUAGCAGCGUCGUUCUCGGCCAGGCUGAGCUCAGACUCUCUCUGUGUUAAUUAACCUCAAACCCGAGGCCUGUCCGCCGGUGCUUGACCCCCACUGACCGCAGACCCAGAUCGUCUCCGCCGCAGGAACAUGCUUAAAAAUAAGGUGCUUCACAGCGAUGCCACAGAAGAACCAUUCAGUCAAAGGUUCUUUAAAGAACCAUCUCUUUCUGGCCAAUUUUUAUAAUCUGAGGAAACUUCUUUCAUCACAAAGAACCUUUUUAAGGUUUUAAAGGUUCUUUAAGAAACCAUUUAGACAAAAAGGUUCUUCCAUGGCAUCGUGAAGCACCUUUACUUUUAAGAGUGAACUCGAGGUCGACGCUUCACUUAAAACGGAGAACGCAGAGGUAAGACGGCAAACCUGAAGCUCCCUCAGGUGUCUGAACUUCGGUGGCUCUCCGAGAAGAGAAACGUCCGUAUCCACCGCUCUGUUUCUCGGCAUGAAUAAACCAAAGGCAUCUGAUGGCACGCAGUUACCUGCUCUCGCAGGAGCGCUCGCUCUCACCCCACCAAUAACCUUUAAUAUUUCAUAUCUGGCUGUGAUCUGCGAGGAGAGCUUCUCUCAGGCAGCGCUUUCUCAAAGCAGAGGGAGAGACACGGAGACAGGAUUAUUUUUGUACCUGUUCAAACACGCCGCAUUAAAUUAUUCAGCGUGUUGGUCUGCUUUUACCUCGCCGCUGAAAAUGCACCUUCAACCUCUGACAAAAAGGAGACACGGUGAGGAAAGGAAUCUGGCCUCGGGGAAGAGAAAACACCGAGCGAACGAGGAGAAAACAAGCGCGGCACUAACCUGCGCAGGCCACCGAGCUGCCAGCAUCUAUAAUUCAUGAGCUAUGCUCUCACAAAAUGGAUCAUGAUACACUUGUACAAGCAUCCCGGGCAGACAUAACCUGAUAUGACAAGGCUCUGACCCUCUUCUUCGUAAAGUCUGGUAUUUUUAGCGGGGAUUAAAAAAUGCACAAGUUUUCCUGAUGUCGGCCAGAUUUGGCCUCACCUGCUCUGAGCCGCACUUAAAAGGUUAAAAGGUCAGCGGAUUGAUGCAUCAGUUUAGAUUUUGUUUUUAAAAGUAAGAAUACAGAGGUAAAAUGCAAUAUAAUAAUUCAGUAAUCAAUGUCCAUAUGUUCACAAGGCAUUUAUCAUCUUAAAGAAAUAUUAUAGUAUUUACUAUAAAUUACUAUAGUAUUUCUUCAUGUGGGAUUGUACUGAAUGAUGAUAACUGUAAAUUUUCAAGUCCAUUUUUUCCCCCAAGCUGUAAAUAAAGAUAUGUUGGAGUAUGUUUUACAAGAAACACUAUUUCAGUCUUUCUCAUUUAUUUAAAAAUGAAUGUGUAUUUAGUAAUAAUGCAUGCACUUAUUUUCUGUGGUGAUCGACAGCAUAUCUCAGAUGCUGUACACUGUAUCUGUACUGAAUCCAGAAGGUUUGUCUAAGACUGAUGUGAUUUGUCCCUCUCUUGGGACAAAAGCGGCGCUGAUGGCUGUAGUGGAGGCCCUUCAUUUGGCUGUAAUCAGGAGAGAGUGUGCGGAGAUGAAAGAUCAUCAGGGAGAACACACAUUUACAAAUGAACACCAUUACUUUCUUCACAUUC